UCAAGAUGGACUCAAGCGGUUGCCAAGGCAACAGUUUUACAGUCGUCACUGCCAUGGAAACCCUUUCUGUGGCAUAAUAUAAAUAUUUUCCUUUAAGAAUGAGACGGGGAGGUGAGUGGGUGACAAGUUAUUUUCUAAUGCUCACGGGCUGCGGCCAGAGCCUUCGGUGGAUGGGAGGAAGGAGAGGACCAAAUUAGCUCAGAUUCUAUAUAAUUCACAGAACAGCCUGGUGUUAUUUGUUUGUUUUUAGAUAUAAGAGCCAAAGAGAUGGAGGUGGGGGGAGCAAAAAAUGUCGACAAAAAUAGUCCAUAGUCCUGAAGUGGAGAGAGAUACAAAUGUUUCCUUCAGGGAAUCAAGACCUGUAGACUUACAGAGUCGAAUGUUGCAGUAGUGAGAAGCAUUACAUGCCCAGGCAAGACACUGGAAAUGAAGAACUGUCAUCAAAUUGUUGCCAUGCGAAGAAGCAAUCUAAAGAAUAUGUGGCCCAAAAAAAGGUAGGAAAAAAUACUUUAGUCAUGUGCCAGGCAAUUACAAAACAUUGUAUCGUGUUUCUGGAUUUUGUGAUGU